GACAGAGGAGGCAAGCGUUGUUCGGAAUCACUGGGCUUAAAGCGGGUGUAGGCGGCUUGGAAAGUGUCGUGUGAAAGCCCUCGGCUCAACCGGGGAACUGCACGGCAAACUGCCUGGCUUGAGGUCGGUAGGGGUGUCUGGAACUCUAGGUGGAGCGGUGAAAUGCGUAGAUAUCUAGAGGAACGCCGGAGGCGAAAGCGGGGCACUGGGCCGAUUCUGACGCUGAGACCCGAAAGCGUGGGGAGCAAACAGG
rnacentral:rRNA from 1 species